rnacentral:rRNA from 1 species
GAUGAACGCUGGCGGCGUGCCUAAUACAUGCAAGUCGAGCGAACAGACGAGGAGCUUGCUCCUCUGACGUUAGCGGCGGACGGGUGAGUAACACGUGGAUAACCUACCUAUAAGACUGGGAUAACUUCGGGAAACCGGAGCUAAUACCGGAUAAUAUAUUGAACCGCAUGGUUCAAUAGUGAAAGACGGUUUUGCUGUCACUUAUAGAUGGAUCCGCGCCGCAUUAGCUAGUUGGUAAGGUAACGGCUUACCAAGGCAACGAUGCGUAGCCGACCUGAGAGGGUGAUCGGCCCCACUGGAACUGAGACACGGUCCAGACUCCUCCGGGAGGCAGCAGUAGGGAAUCUUCCGCAAUGGGCGAAAGCCUGACGGAGCAACUCCGCGUGAGUGAUGAAGUUCUUCGGAUCGUAAAACUCUGUUAUUAGGGAAGAACAAAUGUGUAAGUAACUAUGCACGUCUUGACGGUACCUAAUCAGAAAGCCACGGCUAACUACGUG